GGGGAUGUAGCUCAGCUGGAAGAGCGCGACGUUCGCAAUGUCGAGGCCAGGGGUUCGAGCCCCCUCAUCUCCACCA
rnacentral:tRNA from 1 species